CUAAGCAUGCCUGCAUUUUCUUUCUCUCUCUCUCUCUCUCUCUCUCUCACACGUGCACGCGCUAUACAAAUAUAUAUAUAUAUGUAUGUAUGUAUGUAUGUAUGUAUGUAUGUAUGUAUAUAGAUACUUCUCUUUUAACUAAGAAUAAAUAUAGGCCAUAAAUAUAUAUCAUAUUGUUAAUGAAUUCUUCUCUAUCUGUAACUGAUCGUCAGCGUGGAGCCCGGGAAGUGGACCCCAGAAAAGAGGAAGAACUACAACCUUCUCGACGCCUUGAGCAGGCACACCAUCCAAGUGUUCCCCAAAUCUUGGGCUGCCAUCCUGCUGACAUUCGACAACGCCGGAAUGUGGAAUCUUAGGUCAGAGCAGCCGGAGAGGCGCUACCUAGGACAACAGCUCUACGUGGGAGUUGAAAAUAUUAAACGCUCCCUCAGGAAUGAGUACAACAUGCCAGACACUGCCCUUGUCUGUGGCCUCGUCAAGGGCAUGCCUAAGCCCCCGCCUUACAGCACGUAAGAUAUAUCACCGCCAUGCUAUGCCGCUUCACACUAGCUAUAUAUGACAUAGAUACCAGCAAGGAUGGAGAUGACAGCGGGGGAUUCGAAUAGUGUGCGCGUGUGAGACAGGAGAGAUCAUUACAAUUUAUGUAUUUCUUCGCAGCUAAUUUAAGCAAACAAAGUUAGGGAACGGUAAAGAAUAAGGGUUGGAAUGUAUGCCAUCACAUUUUCCUAUCAGAUAAAAUAAAAGAGAAGAAAUCCCAUUAAAUUUUUGUACUUUCAUUUAUUUUGGAAUUUGUUAUCUCUCCCUUUUGUACAAGAUUUUAUCAUUAAUAGCCAAAAUUUAUGAUUUAUCCCAUCAUUUUUACAUCAUUUUUAUAUGUCAGUUUUCAUAAAAACUUUCUAAUGUAGCAGAAAACAUAUACGAAUAUACCGAAGUACCCUCAAUGUUAUAAACCAAAACCCUAAUGUCAAUUUACCUUUUAGAUGAGAUAUUCUCUUAAUUUUGGUUAACCUUAAACCAAGAACGGAAGCCAACAAACAGGAAAACCGAUUUGUUUCAGUUGAGAACUUGCGACAUUUGCAGUGAACAGCAUAAGUAAACAAUCAUGACAAUCUAUUUGUUGCAAGAACAAAGAUUUGUUUAAUUUUUAGAUGGGAUAUUGUCAAUUUUCAUUAACCUUGGAUUAGUUUUUCAGUGAAGGUAUAUGGAAUUGUUUAUGUGUCCCACCAUUACCAUUGAUAUUGUUGUGUUUCAAAAAAAAAAUGAUUUUGUUGGAGAGUUUAAUUAAGCGCAUAACUUUAAAGACCAACAAAAAUUGUGUAAUUAAAUCGAAAGACAUCAAGUUUCUAUUGAUUGUAAAUUUGAUGAAGUUCUGGUUUCAUUCGUCUGGUUUUUUUGUUCCCCUGUUUUCGUCCUACUUUUUAGGAUGACAGAUCCUAAUAUUCCAAUUUCAUUAUCCCCAAACAAUUAGAUUUAUGUUAUUACGAACUAUAAUGGUGAUGCACCAUUUUAUAGAUCUCUAUUCAGAACAUCAAUUUACAGAUCACCAAGUUCGGGCAUCAACCCACAAGAUAAUGUAAUUAAACUUAUGUUUUGAGGGUACUUGAGACUAUUCAAAGUGACAUUUUUGAAAUGAUGGGCUAAGUUUUGGCUAUUAAUGAUUAACUCCUUUUUACACCUAUUUAUCUGGUUUAUUUUGCCUAUUUAUUUAUUUUCUUCUAUCUAUAUAUGCGGUCAAAGAGAGAUUAUCUUUAUAAAUCACAUUUGUAAAUUAUAUAAUGUGAUUGUUCACCAUUUGUCUUCUUUAUUAAAUCACGAAGUCUUACUUUAUUGUCAUAUUAUGUGGUUUACAAAAUGUGAUUUAAAAAAUAAGGUCUACCUAGCAUUUUUUGUACAUAUAUAGAGACUAAUGCUACACUUAUCACAAUUUUCAUACUGUAUUUGUAUAACCUCUCUGAUAGAGGUAGACACACAAACAUAUGUGGGUCUCAUAUGUAUUAGAGAGGUGAUACAAAUGUGGUAAGAGUAACAUUUCUUGAUAAACUUAUAGUCACAACAUGAUCCAUCACCAACAUCACUGAUAUUAUUCCAACCUAACAACAUAUUACUAGUAGUUGAGUUUUAUCACAAAAAGCCAAGUGAUAUUAAAGGUGGAAACACUUAUAUAUUAAUUGUAUAUUAUAUUUUCAAAUAUGAUCGAUGUGGAAUCCUAUUCUACAACAAGCUCCCUCACAAGUGACCUCUCAUAGGGUCACUCGGGAAACCAAUCCUUACAUCAGGAACCAGUCAAGUCAUUAUACUAGUGCUAAUGCACGAUUUUUUGAGAACUCAUUCGGUAUUCAGUAGUCUGUCACUAGAACCAACACACGACUUUUAGAAAACCUAGUUAUUCAACAGUCAGUCAUUAGAGCCAACACAUGACUUUUUGAAGGCCAAUUAUCAGUCGGUAUUAUGAAGCAAGUUCAAACCCAGUAACUCGGGCCCAAAACGUAUCAAUAGAAUAACCUAUUUUGAUCAUGUUGCAGAACCGGUCGCUAGUAGGGCACGACCGGUCGCCCGACCUUACUGCUUUUACUAUAGACAACUGGUAGCUCAAAUUUGUUGAAGUUUCAACUCAUCCCCACAAUCAUCUCUUCUAAUACCUGCAAAUGACCAAUUUCCUAAGAAUAUUCAGGCAGGAUGUCCUACUACUUUAGCAAGUCUUGCUCACUCUUUGGCUUGUGAACUUCUUCGAAGGUCUUUUACAAACGCACAUAUUUUUAACAUGCUUUCCCACACCUGGUCCAUGAAGAAAACAUUCUCAUUGUACGGGGUGAAUGUGCAACCACAUCGUGAUUGUUUGGGAGGGGUCUCUAUAAGGUUAGAGUGAUUUGGUCGAGAAGAAUAUGAGUGCACUCUCAAUAAAAGUACCAAUUGUUGAAACCAAAUUUGCGCACCAUCGUAGAUGGUGAAGGCACAAAUCCAAAUAACCUAUAAAAAAACAAACAACCAUGAGCAAGCCUAGGACCAGGGUAUGUGCUGGCCAAAGGCUCUCCGACAAUCAAGUUAGUAAGCAAGUAUAAGACUCCAACAAUGGGCCAGAGAAUCAGAGUGUGAUGAUUGCGUUACCAGAGACAAACUUUAGAAUGGUGUAUUUAUACCAGUCGAGAGAUAGACCAUUUUAGGAUAGAAAAUCCUUAUUCUAAGUCUGAAUAAUCUUAGAGGAUAUAUAGAAGUAGAUAUUGCAUCCUCUUUAUAAGUUUGAUUAUUUGCAACGCACGCCAAUUCAUAGAUUGUAAAAACUCCAAAACUUAUAAAGAAUAUGGCUGAUUCUAUACUUGAUCAGAUCCCAGGUAUUGCGGAAUAAGCAUGGUCAUUCUCAGCGAAGUCGCUUGGACUUUGCCCAUUGCGCCGGAACAGGAUAAUGGUGGGACCACUGCUCCGUUAUCCAACUCCGCUUGGAGUUGUUGAGUCUAUGACCAAACUUCUAAGGUAGCUGCAUUCAAUAUGCCUUACUCUAACCCUGGAAAAUCAUGGUCCCACUACAUUUCCUAAAGUUUUGACUUAAAUUUCCAAGUUUUUGAACAAAAUUCCAUUAUUUCCAUCGAAUGCAAGUGAUACAUAUAUUGAUAUAUCCAUCUAUAUUUUUACAAAUUUGCAUAUCAAUAGCCGUCAAUACUAAUAUUUUAAACACUAAUCAAGGUAUAUUUAAAAAAAAUGAUGUAUUUUCACUUAUUAUUACGGGAUAUUUCUCUUCACUUUUAAUUGAGAUGUCUUAGAUUUGAAUAUGAAAAAUGGCAAAGUUUAAUACCAAUAUUUCGCCACCUCAUUUUUCAUAUUAUAAAUAUAUGGUUGUAAAAGAAAAAAAAUAUGUAUUCCUGAUUUGAAAAAUCUUUCAAGUUACAUUCUAAAGACCAUUUUGUUUGGCCUCUACUUACAAAGCCUAUAACAUUAUUCAAACUAGUAAAGUAGUAAUUAUUUUCACACUCGUUGCAUGUACGUGUAAGAUAAAGGGCAAAGCUGACCCUGAGGAUGUGCAAAACGUGCCACCACAUAAGGCCCCCAAUUCCGAAGGGCCCCCAAAUUUUUAUUACAUGUACACAUAUGUAUGUGAUAUAUAUUUAAAUGUGUAUGAUAAUAUUAAUUAUGGUUUCAACGCUAGUGGUAUACGACUUCUAACUUUUGGUUAGGGAUGACAACAGUUCGGUUUGGGGACGGAAAUGCUAUAUUCAUCCCCAUAACCACGAAAAUUAACCAUAUCCAUAACCGUAAAUUAACCAUCGGGUAUUAUCCAUAACCAUACCCACCGGGUAACGGAUUCCCCAUUGGUUAACGGGUAUAUCCAUCUUCGUCAAUACAAAAAAGAUUUUCAUUCAGUUGAGACAUUAUAAGUUAGUAGAUAUUAAUUUCGUCAUUAAACAUUUGAUGUAUAAAAUGAUCCAAUAAAUGGAUCUUGUUGAGUAUAAAAAUUAAAACACUAAUGAUGUUGGCUUAUCUUUGAUAUCUCUCAUAAGCACCAUUGAGUUCCCAUUGAUUUUGAUUCAAAACUUUACUUUCCUACAAAAUGCAACUUUUGUAUUCUCAAGGUAAUGAUUCAGUGAAUAAUAGAUAUAUAAAUAUAUCUAUAUCUAUAUAUAUUGAUGUAUAAAAUGAUCCAAUGAAUGGAUACUAUUGAGUAUAAAAAUUAAAACACUAAUGAUGUUGGCUUAUCUUUGAUAUCUCCCAUAAGCACCAUUUAGUUCGCAUUGAUUUUGAUUCAAAACUUUAUUUUCCUACAAAAUGCAACUUUUGUAUUCUCAAGGUAAUGAUUCAGUGAAUAAUAGAUAUACAUAUAUAUAUAUAUAUAUAUAUAUAUAUAUAUAUAUAUAUAUAUUAUACUAUAAUAUUAUAUAUAAAUUAUAUUAUUUACUAAUCGGGUCGGAUUCGGUUAUGGAUACGGUUUGGGGACCUCUAUAACCAUAUCCAAAACCAUAACCGAAUAAUAUAAACGGUUUUUCCCCAUAUCCAGAAUAUACCCAAACUUCUAUACCCAAAUCCGUUCCAUUCGAACGGUUAUCCACGGUUAUCGGGUUUAAUGGUUAGAAUUGGCAUCCCCAUUUUUGGUGCCCAAUCAAGUAAACUCAUUUUUGGUGAGCCAACUUGCAAUAUUUCAAUUUUAUAGAUAACAAAAUUGAAAAAUAAUAAACAAUAAAGAAUAUACAACAUUAAAAGAAGGGUGAAGUGCCGAUUUAGUCCAUAAACUAUCAUCUUAGUGAAAAUUAGGUCCCUAAAUUAUUUUUUCGGUAAAAUAAGUCUCAAAAUUCAUUAAAAUUUGAUAAUGUCAUCCCUACUAUUACAUUUAAAGUUGUUUAUCCAUUUUUUGUCAACUUAAGUCACUUGACACAAUUUAGAGUGUAAUACUGUCAUUUUCUCGUCUAUAAGCCCUUAACAUUUCAUAUAGGUUGCGAAUCUAACGUCUAAUUUACCCUCCAAAGUUAAUUCCAUACACUAUUUAUUUAUGAAAAAUUACCAAUCUAUCCUCCAAUGUGUAUCAUAUGCAAGUAAUGUGACUUAAAUUAAUGGAAGAUUGAAUAUAGUAGCUUCGAAUCUAAUAUUAGGGAUGUAAUUGGCAUAUUUUUAUAAUUCAAAGAAUGAUUUUUUUUUAAGAAAAAAAAUAGUCUAAGGACUUAAUUUUCACUUAAUUGAUAAUUCAAAAACUAAAUUGAUUAUUCACUCUUAGAAGAAUGAAGGGCCUCCAUCUAAGUUUUGAACAGAGCCCCUAAAUACUCAAAGUGGGCCCUAAUAAAGGAGUUCAAAUUUUGUUUAUAGGACAACAUUCUAAGGUGCUCCAGUUCACGGAUACUGGAAUUCACACUUGUUUGGAAUAACGCAGACACUCAUCUCUGAUCAGCUAUAGCCUAUAUAUAACACAAACAUGCAAGAAUUCGUAGUUUUAAGGUUCUUUUUGUCAAUUUCCAACACCACCAUCUAAUCCGCUCAAGUUACACUCUUAUGGCACGUUUACGUACCCGUAAUCGGAAUCAAUUUAUGGAAUUGGAUUCCGAUUACGGGAUACACCUUUGUUUACGUAAUCUUGAGGAAUCAAAAUACAUGUGGGGUCCACACGCAUUAAAGAAUCCAACUCCUAAUUUUGGAGGAAUUGGACUCCUUACAUAAGGGAGGUAUUUCAAUUCCUUGUGACUUGAGGAAUUCGGAAUGGAGUUUAUUUACCAAUUAUGCCCUCACUUGUUUCUUAUUAUCCCAACAUUGCCCUUCAUUUGACACUCAUUAUGCCAUCUUUUAAUAAAUAAAUAAAACCUUUUAUAUAUUUUUAUAUAGAUGAAUUUUAUUAUAUAAAUUUAAUUCAAUUAAUUAGUAUGAAAAUAAUUUAUUUAUGUAAGGGCAAUUUAGUAAUCAACCUAGUUUUCAUUCCGAUUGAAGUGAAUUAGUAAACAACUUAUAUAGAUUCAACAUCAUUCAUGCCAUCUUUUAAUAAAUAAAUAAAACUUAUUCAUAUAUUUUUAUAUAGAUGAAUUUUAUUAUAUAAAUUUAAUUAAUUAGUAAGGAAAUAAUUUAUUUAUGCAAGGGCAAUAUAGUAAUCAACUGAGUUUUCAUUCCGAUUGAAGUGAAUUAGUAAACAACUUAUAUAGACUCAACAUCAUUUCUACUCCAAUUUCAGACAGUUUUAGUAAACAACUUAUAUAGACUCAACAUCAUUUCUACUUCGAUUCCAGACAGUUUUAGUAAACAACUUCAACAUGAAUCUAAUUCUGAUUUCACCUCAUUUCAAUUCCUCCUCAAUCCAAUUCCUCAUCAAUUCAAUUCCUCUCAAUUUGAUUACGAAUUAGUAAACGCACCCUUACUUAUUACUAGUGAUUAAUAAUAGGGUAAAUUACACUUUACUCUUUCAAGUUUCAGUGUAAUUGCAACUUCAUACAAUAUCUUUAAAACAUUUCAAUUUCAUACACAAACUUGUAUUUUGUUGCAAUUUCAUACAUUUAUUAGUCAAAUCAUUAAUUUGAUCACUAAAUGAUGAUGUGGCAAAAGCAUGGCCCACAUAUUUUCAUAAUGUGGCAUAUAAAAAAUAAUUAAUUAUAAAAAAAAAAAACUUAAAUACAAAAUUAAAUUAAAACAAAAUAAAAGGGGCCCACCCCCUCUUCUCCCACACGGCCACAGAGCUUCCAUCUCCUCCAAUAUCCAUAACCACCAGUGCACCCACCCUCCCAAUCCCUAAACCCUCAUUAUCUAGUUCUCCCAAUUCUUCUGAUUCUUCUUCUUCCCCAAAUCUUCGUAAAAAAUCUCUCUAUUUUCGCUCUCAUUCCGAAAAAAACCCCCAGAAAUUUCAUGGAUUUCGAAAUUUUAUUUCCCAAAAUUCCAAACCAUCAUCUUCUCCACGUCAACCUACUUGCAAAUCUGAAAAAAAAACCCUCCCAAGUUUCCUCCUAUCUUGCGCCGCACUUACUUGAACCAGCACGAUACCCACGCCGAUCUGAAUGUCUGCACCGAACACAUAAUUAAGCACAGACUCCCGAUGGCCACAACUUCUUUUAGAUCCGAGCUUCCAAUGCCAUCUCUUCCUGAAUCGGGCAUCGCGGCGGGACAUCUAAUCCACACCCACCCCUUACACCUGAUGUAAACCUUCCCCUUCCCUCUGUUCCCUCUGAUCUCGACGAGCUCUGCUGUUAAAUGGUUAAGCAACUGAUUGCGCCAUAGUGACAUCGCCGGAGUCGACAGUGGCGAGGUUUCUGAGGACGAGGAGGGCAGCUUGCAAGGCUUUAAUCGGACCGCGGUGGUGCUAAGGGGGUUAGAAUGGAGGAGAAUGCGAAUUACUUGCCGUUGAAGAUUAAGGGUAACAAUGGUGUGACGUCGCCAAAGCUGGUGAGGGGGGCCGAAGACAUCUGUGGACACGAUCCACUCGCCGUUAGGUGAAAACCUGGUGACAAUGACGGGUUAGGCGUGCUCGGCGUAAACGACGACAGAUGAUAAAUUUAUAUUUGGGUGGGGUCUAAUUUAUAUUCGGCGUAAACGACGACGUCGAAGGCGUGCUCGGUGUUGGAAGAACGAUGACAGGACAACAGGAACAAAGAAGAACGAUGACAGGACAACAGGAACAAAUUUGUGUGGGGUCUAAUUUAAUUUAUAUUUGUCACGUCACUAUUUAACGGUAAAUUUAAUAGAGUAAAUAACAGUUGUAUGAAAUUGAAAUGAAAUAGUAAUAACUGUAUGAGAUUGAAAUGUUUUAAAGAUAUUGUAAGAAAUUGUAAUUGAUCUCAAAGCUAAGGGGGGUAAAAUAUAAUUUACCCUUAAUAAUAUUGUUAGGACAUUUUUUGUCCAUUGUUGGACUGUCGUAAAACAAGGCCUCUCACCUUUUUGAAAAAAUGACAUUAUUUAAGUUCAAAUUAAUUAGUUUAUAUAAUAUAUAAUAAAUUAUUUAAAUUUGCCUCGUCCGUCUAGGCUUGUAUAUGAACAUUACUAUCCCCUUCACUCUAGUAUUUUUUUUCUAGUUGUAAGAUGUUGUCUUUGUAAUCCAACAAUUCAUUCAUUUAUUGAAUGUAAUAAGUAACAUUUUAACAAUAGAAAAGUGAUUGGAAUUUGACGUACUGGGUAGGGACUUCUCUUUCGAAUUGAAUUGGUUGAAAAAUUAGAUUAUGUAAACUUAAUAAGUGCAUUUGCAUCUAAAAACGCGAGACGAGUAAUAUUUGAGUAAUGUUUGUACAUCUUUCUUCUUUUGAUAUUAAUGUUUAAUGAUAUUUGAUGUAGAAAUAGACAUUUCAUGUAUUUAGUGAAUUUUUUUUAUACAUGUUAAUGUACGAAGGGUCAGGAGUCAGAGAACUCUAGGGUCUCAUUUUGAAGGCUCGCAUAGGGCCCCAAAUUCUCAGGGCCGGCCUUGAUUAGAGUGUUAGUCUCUUAACUAAAAAUUCGUGAAUAUUGAUAUAUGAAUUUGAUGAUGUGAAGUAAUGGUCCUUUCAAUUAAUUCUGUUAUAACUUUUAUAAAAAAAGAUUUAAGGGUGCAAAAACUGGAUAAAAAUUCUAAUGAAGUUAACAAAAAGACCAUUAUUAUAUAUUAUAAAAGGUUCAGAACCAAUACUUACAAAUAUUUAAUUCAAGCAAUAAAACUCCAAUUGAGCUAACGCACAAGGGCUAUUGCUUCAAUUUUUUUGGAAAAGAAAAUGCAAGGGCGCGCGCAAUGCAAGGGACAAGAAAGAAGGGCGAGCAGAGAGACGAUUCCGGAAAGUUUAAUUUUAGCGGUGGAAAAACUGUGAAACAAGUGUAUAAAAAGGGCAAGGAUUGGGAACAAGGAAGAUCGUAGAAGAAGAAGCAACGGUCUUCUUCGAAUAAAACCAUAGAUCGAUAGGAAUUUAAUUAAAUAUUGCGUGAGGAAAGGGUUGAAAUUAAUAGAUCGAUAGGAAUAAGAAAGCUAUAGAUGGCUUCCGUGAUGUAUGCGCUGUUGCUGUGCCUCUCAGCCGGAGCACUUUCGAUGGUCCAGGGUGAAGACCCUUACCUGUUCUUCACAUGGAAUGUCACCUACGGAACCAUCUCUCCCCUCGGAGUCCCCCAGCAAGCAAUUCUCAUCAAUGGCCAGUUCCCAGGACCCAACAUCAACUCCACCAGCAACAACAACAUCGUCCUCAACGUCUUCAACAACCUCGAUGAGCCAUUCCUUGUGACAUGGAACGGCGUCCAGCAGAGGAAGAAUUCGUGGCAAGAUGGAACCCUCGGAACCAUGUGCCCCAUCGCCCCUGGUACCAACUUCACCUACCGCUUCCAAGUCAAGGAUCAGAUAGGGAGCUACAUGUACUAUCCAGUCACUGCCAUGCACAGGGCAGCAGGUGGCUUCGGUGGACUCCGCAUCAACAGUCGUCUGCUCAUUCCCGUCCCAUAUGCUGAUCCCGAGGAUGAAUACACCGUCAUGAUCGGCGACUGGUACACCAAAAGCCACACCGCUCUCAAGAAAAUCUUGGACAGCGGCCGCACCAUGGGAAGACCCACCGGCGUCCUAAUCAACGGCAAGAACGCCAAGGGAGACGGCAAAGACGAGCCCCUCUUCACCAUGAAGCCAGGGAAAACCUACAAGUACAGGGUCUGCAACGUGGGGCUCAAGAACUCCCUCAACUUCCGGAUCCAAGGCCAUCCCUUGAAGCUUGUCGAGAUGGAGGGCUCCCACACUGUCCAGAACACCUACGAAUCCCUUGACGUGCACGUGGGGCAAUGUUUCUCGUUGCUCGUCACUGCAGACAAAGAGCCCAAGGACUACUACAUGGUGGCCUCCACCCGAUUCACCAAGACCGUGCUCACCGGCAAAGGCAUUAUCCGCUACGAAAAUGGUAACGGCCCUGCAUCCCCCGAGCUCCCCGAGGCUCCCGUAGGAUGGGCCUGGUCUCUUAACCAGUUCCGUUCCUUCCGCUGGAACCUCACUGCCAGCGCUGCCAGGCCUAACCCUCAGGGCUCGUACCACUACGGAAAGAUCAACAUCACCCGCACCAUCAAGAUCGUCAACUCCGCCUCCAAGGUGGAUGGCAAGCUCCGGUAUGCCGUCAACGGAGUCUCCCACGUGGAAUCCGAAACCCCACUCAAGCUGGCUGAGUACUUCGGUGUGGCCGACAAGGUUUUCAAGUACGACACAAUCGAGGAUGAACCCCCAGCCACCGUGGAGGACAAGAUCACCUUGGCACCCAACGUUGUCAACCAGACCUUCCGUGACUUUGUAGAGAUCAUCUUUGAGAACCACGAGAAGAGCAUUCAGUCAUGGCAUUUGGAUGGAUACUCCUUCUUUGCCGUCGCGUAAGUCCUUAGCUAGUGUCUCUCUUCUACGUAAUAUGUAUAUAUGCAUUUUUAUACCUAGCUAAUAGUACUUACUUACAUAUUCAUAUAUUCAAUCAAUCCUACUCUUAUUAUGUGCAGCAUUGAACCCGGGAGGUGGACCCCAGAAAAGAGAAAGAACUACAACCUUCUUGACGGAGUGAGCAGGCACACCAUCCAAGUGUUCCCCAAAUCCUGGGCUGCCAUCAUGUUGACCUUCGACAAUGCCGGAAUGUGGAACGUGAGGUCUGAACAACCGGAGAGGUGCUAC
rnacentral:lncRNA from 1 species